GUGUUCGGUAUCACGUAUUAAAAUCCAGAUAAAUUCAAACGGCAUAUUGUAGGCUCCAUUCUAGAGGUGGCUUUAUCAAUAAGAUUUUCUCGAGUCGAAUCCAAAACUACUAAUUAUAAGGUGGAGCACAGGAGCAGUCCAACAACUGCACCACAACUCACACGUUAGUAUCAUCGUCUUCUUCAACACUUAGACCCUUCACAAAAAAGAAAAAAAAAAAAAAGAAUCUCAAUCUUCCGCACAAACAUGGAUAUUCAACAUUUAUCCUUCAAAUCAACAACUCCUGUUUUUCAGUAA
rnacentral:lncRNA from 1 species